GCUGGGGUUUCCGAGCCUGGUACGGAGCCAGCCUGCUAAGUUGGUGUGCUUGCACGCGCGAGUUCGAAUCUCGCCCCCAGCGCCA
rnacentral:tRNA from 2 species